UGAUAACAGAAAGUUUAUUCAAGAAUUGUUUGACAGACAACCCUUUCAAGUAAGGGGGGAAAAAGUAACUACAGAAGAACAAAGAAAGUUCCAAGAGGGAAUUAACUCUAACUCUACAAAUUCAGGACUAUACAGUGACAAUUAGGAGCUGAGUUCAUGCCUUUUAGAACUAAUUACAAUAGCUCAUAAGUACGAGUUUAACAUAAAUCUACAGCUCUUUUCUAGAGUACAAGAAAAACUAAAAUAGCUGGUUUUACAUGACAGGAAACACAAUGUCCCUUAUAACAAGUAAAUACUAAAAAAGUACAUUUUUCCUUUUUUUCCCUCAUAUAAAUACAUAAUGUAGGGGGAUAAAUAAUACCAAAAGGAAAGAAAAUAUCUUAACAGGCUAUAACCAAUAAAUAUAUAUGAAAAUGUUCACUAGAACACACGCUUUUUGAGCAAUGCUGGACCUCUGCAGGCCCAGACAUCUCUCACAGUUGUUUUUAUAUCCAUUAAAAUGUAAACUCUAAGUGCAACAAAAGUGUCCUGUCAGGAGGUUGAGCAAGGCACAGAGACCCAGCUGCAGCCCCUGCCUGGGACAGACAGUUUGUUCAAAUAUACCCUGUUUUCACGUUAAGUCAAGAGAGCAAUGCAAGAAAAGAAAAGUGGAGAACCUCUGUGGCCAUUCGCUGUCCGCAAGGGGGCUGGGGGUGGGGAUGGACCUGGAGCUGAACUUAGGCUGCAGAACAGGCAAACCUUCAGUCCUGACAACUUGCCUGCCUUAGCCCAACUCUUCCUUUAAAAGAAAAAAAAUAUAUAUGUAUAUAUAUAUUUAUUUAUACUAUAGGCAGCUCUGAUUUUCAGGAUCUCAUCAUCCCUGAGGCCUCAGAAAACGAAUUGAUGGGGCCGGGGUAUAAAGAUGAAUGACCUAGAACAAACAAACUAUGGAGUUCGAAAUGGAGGGCAUGUUCCCCAAAGACCUCAAAUAGAAGGGAGAACAUUUUGAGGCUUGGAGAAGUGGAGGGAGAAUUUUGUGCCCUUGGGUUUAAAUCUGUUUCCUUGUUUCUUAAGGAAAAUGAGAGGGGUAAAAAAAAAUCAAGAUUUGGGGGAGUUAUCAACAGAGAUGGAAGGAUGCCAGCAACUCCAGACUGUUUCUACAAACUUUCUGAAGAUUUCUAACUCACAGCCAGUGGAACCCCGCUUCCCUUUGUAGGUCUGCUGCUCUGCUGAGGUACCACUACCUUCACUACCUUCUUUGCUUAGCCAGGCCUGGGACUUGGCAGCCAAUGGCCCCUGUGGAGCUUCCAAAUGGAACAGGGUUGUUUCAAAUUCUUAGCAAUGGCAAGAACCCGGUGCUGUGACCAUUUGGCCCAGAUCUCUCCCCUCCCCGCACCCUUCUU